AUUUUAACUUAACUAAAUAAACAGCAUUUAAUUGAUCUUCCUUCCUCCCAUCCUUCCUUUCUUAUGUGGUGUAGCCUUGCUCUGCAGCCUCUGCCUGGGCUGUAUUAUACGGGUGUUUGUGUGGGUGUGUUAUGACGGUGUACGAUGAUGACCUCUGGCUGCAGAGACAAGGACGUGGUCAGGUGAUCCGCAGGCUGAUUGGCGCCUGUCUAGCGUAGAGGACGCUGUCACCUCCAAGACCGUCAGAUAGAAGACUUCAGGGCUAAAUGAAGAUUAAUCAACCUGUGGGGACUGGAGCGACACACCCAACAAAUGAAAGAAAAUGGCUGUGUAGUAAUCUUUUUGACAUUGGUAGGACCAUUCUACCUUUUGGAGCACAGAGGGCUAGAGAGUGGCAGAGCCUCGGCGUCAUCCUGGACAACACCCUCUCAUUCGCACCCCAUAUUCACAACAUCA